rnacentral:rRNA from 1 species
GACGAACGCUGGCGGCGUGCUUAACACAUGCAAGUCGAACGCUGAAGCCUGGUGCUUGCACCGGGUGGAUGAGUGGCGAACGGCUGAGUAAUACGUGAGUGACCUGCCUUUGACUCUGGGAUAAGCCUGGGAAACUGGGUCUUAUACCGGAUGCGACUACUGCCCGCAUGGGCUGGUGGUGGAAAGGGUUAUGUACUGGUCUUAGAUGGGCUCACGGCCUAUCAGCUGGUUGGUGGGGUAAUGGCCUACCAAGGCGACGACGGGUAGCCGGCCUGAGAGGGUGACCGGCCACACUGGGACUGAGACACGGCCCAGACUCCUACGGGAGGCAGCAGUGGGGAAUAUUGCACAAUGGGCGCAAGCCUGAUGCAGCGACGCCGCGUGAGGGAUGACGGCCUUCGGGUUGUAAACCUCUUUCAGCAGGAAAGAAGCGGAAGUGACGGUACCUGCAGAAGAAGCGCCGGCUAACUACGUGCCAGCAGCCGCGGUAAUACGUAGGGCGCAAGCGUUGUCCGGAAUUAUUGGGCGUAAAGAGCUCGUAGGCGGCUUGUCGCGUCUGCUGUGAAAGCCCGGGGCUUAACUCCGGGUGUGCAGUGGGUACGGGCAGGCUAGAGUGCAGUAGGGGUAACUGGAAUUCCUGGUGUAGCGGUGAAAUGCGCAGAUAUCAGGAGGAACACCGAUGGCGAAGGCAGGUUACUGGGCUGUUACUGACGCUGAGGAGCGAAC